rnacentral:rRNA from 1 species
GCUUAUCUUAAAGAUUAAGCUAUAUAUAUCUAAGUAUAAGCAAUUAUACCGUGAAACUAUAAAUAGCUUAUUAAAUUAGUUAUCGUUUAUUUAAUAGUACCUUACUACUUAGAUAACUGUAGUAAUUCUAGAGCUAAUACAUGCUAAAAACCCUAACUUUAGAAGGGGUGUAUUUAUUAGAUAAAAAACCAACGCCCUUUAGGGCUUCUUAGUAAUUCAUGAUAACUUUACGGAUCGCAUAGCCUUACGCCGGCGACAGUUCAUUUAAAUUUCUGCCCUAUCAACUUUCAAUAGUAAGGUAUUAGCUUACCAUAGUUUUAACGGGUAACGGGGAAUUAGGGUUCAAUUCUAGAGAGGGAGCCUAAGAAACAGCUACCACAUCUAAGGAAGGUAGUAGGCGCGCAAAUUACCUAAUCCUAACAUAGGGAGGUAGUAACAAUAAAUACUAAUAUAGGGCUCUUUUAGGUCUUGUAAUUAGAAUAAGUACAAUUUAAACCUCUUAACGAGGAACAAUUAGAGGGUAAGUCUAGUGCUAGCAGCCGUAGUAAUUCCAGCUCUAAUAGCGUAUAUUAAAGUUGUUGCAGUUAAAAAGCUCGUAGUUAAAACUUAGGUCUAGCUAGUAGGUCCGCCUUACCGCGUGUACUUGUCCGGCCGGGCCUUCCUUCUGGAGAACCUCAUGCCCUUCACUGGGCGUGUUGGGGACCAGGACUUUUACUUUGAAAAAAUUAGAGUGUUCAAAGCAGGCCUUUACUUAAAUACGUUAGCAUAGAAUAAUAGAAUAGGACGUAUAGUCCUAUUUUAUUAGUUUCUAGGACCACCGUAAUAAUUAAUAGGGACAGUUAGGGGCAUUAGUAUUUAAUUAUUAGAGGUGAAAUUCUUAGAUUUAUUAAAGACUAACUACUACAAAAGUAUUUGCUAAGGAUGUUUUCAUUAAUUAGUGAACAAAAGUUAGGGGAUCAAAGACGAUCAGAUACCGUCCUCCCUAGGGAGGCAAUACAUUGUGCCUAAGUGUAUUAUUAACAAACAAUUCCUAUAGUAUACUAAAAGGAAAUAUCGCAUAUAAGGGAGUUAAAGGCGACUUCUUUAAGUUAAAGGGUAAGCGACUUUAACGUAGUAGGGAGG